GCCUUCGGGCAUUUGGUCAAUUUGAAACGAUACAGAGAAGAUGUAUGUUCUAUACCCCUUUUCAGAGGCUGCAAGUUCGACCCAGAGUACUGACAUCUUCACAGUAGCAUGGCCCCUGCACUAAGGAUGACACGCUCAAUCAAAGAGAAGCUACCAAUUUUU
rnacentral:snRNA from 2 species